rnacentral:misc_RNA from 1 species
UUUCCGUAGGUGAACCUGCGGAAGGAUCAUUAACGAGUUAGGGUCUUCUAGGCCCGACCUCCCAACCCUUUGUUUACUGAACCAUUGUUGCCUCGGUGGGUCCGUCUUACGACCGCCGGGGGAUCGCCGUGAGGCGCCCCCUGGCCAGCGCCCACCGAUAGCCCAACCUUUAAAACCCUUUGUGAAUCGUGUCUUAUGUCUAAAUUUAUGAUUAAACAAUCAAAACAAAACUUUCAACAACGGAUCUCUUGGUUCUG